AAAAAAGGAAAGAAAUUGACUUUCCUCAUGCAAAACACCACAGCCAUCCAAAAGACUGAAUAAUACCUGGUUUUACUGUGUGAACACUGCCCCUGCUGAAGAGAACCCUUUGCCGGGCUAUCGUGCUGAACAGCUUAGCAACAAUCAUCCACUGCCUCCAAGGCUCACCGCUAAAGAGCGGCAAGCUUAUGCUCCGCAAAUCAUUAAGCUCCGGGCCCUCCUAGCGAACGGUUUAACCGGCAUCGACCUUGCUCGAUGUUGGGUUUCAUGGGGUAUCCUUCCCUUAAGCCGUCGCUCCAGUUUGAUGUAUAAAUGUACCGGAGAUAUAAAAGACCCUCUGUGGUCCAAUGAAAUAGAAAAGACUGACGAGGAAGUUACUAAAGCGGUAAAGAAAAUGUUGGACGAACCGAUUGCUCAGUGCAGCAAGACCGGAUUGGCUCCUUUCUGUACUUCCAACAAACCACGUUAAUCCAACAACUCUUUCUGGAAGAAAAAACCUUCAGACAAACCGGUGAGGACUCAACACCAAAAGACUAAAGCUGUAAAGAAGGCGGGCAAGAAGAAAAUUGGCGAGUCUUCUGAUCCGCCUGAGGAUGUAAAUGAAUCGGAGAACGAGGAUGAUACGGAAGCCAGACGUGCGGACCAUGUUGAGGUAAUCAUCCUUUCUUGCGAUUCAGAACAUGUGCCGGUUCAAAGACUUCGU